GAAACAAAAAGGAGUUUUAGUAGACAGUAUUAUACUACAUUUGAAAAUCAAGGAGCAGUUUAUGCAACGUAAAAUGUUUACAAACUGCAGCGCAAUCUACUGUUUGUGACUGUCAAAGUGUCAUGAGGAAAGUGUCUAUACAAUCACAGAGUUAUAUUUCCUCACAAAGUUCUUUACGAAGAGUGAAAUAUGUUUUUAUACCUCUCAGUUUCAGUUAGAGGCAUAUUUUGUGUAAUAUUUAUGGCUUAAAAUGGACUAAAGGUCCUGUUCUUGCCUUUUCUGAACUUGCCGCUUUUGCAUUCUUUGAGUUCAGUUUAAAGACACUUACUUUAACUCCAUUUUAAACCCUCGGGCUAGAAAUCGUACCACUGUUAAUUAGCCACGUUAUUUGGUCUAACAGUUUUUGUUUAUCAUUCUGAAACUGAGCUUAUCUAAUACAUUGAUAAAUUAUUUCAAAGGUAUUUUUAUAGUUCAAAUCGCUUCACUUUUACCCUGACACGUAUAAAUGAAUAGGAAUGACCUUCAGAUAGCGUUUAGCAACUGUAACCAAUCUGACAAUAAUGUGUUCAUCAGGUACCUGUGGAUUAAAUCACAUACUGGCAUAUUUAAGAUGAAUGUCAGUCUGAAAAAUAAAUAUACUAUAUUAAUUCAAAUACGACUCUUUGUGUAGGUAUUUUGUCAUAUGUUUAAGAAAAAGCUAAAGAGAAUGGAAAUCCUAUGACAAUAACUCAAGUCUUUCUUCAAAGUGCAUGCAGUCUUUUGCAGUACCUCAUUCAGCCAAGUAUUUGUUCUCUACCUCAUUCAGUAUAAGGCAGCCUUUAAUUUGCUUAGAAGGCAACAUUAGAAGGUUAGAGUUCAGCAGGAACAUAGAAUUUUAAAAUGUGACUUCAACUGAAUAAAUUUGAAUUUCUGUAGGGAGUAAAGAAUCAAAACACCUAUUUAAAGACUGCAAAAUAUGAUAAUUAUUUUUAAAGUAAUUGAUUAAACCUGGUAGGUUUUCCCAAAAUGAAAAACAAUCAGUUCUAAAACCAAAGCUGAUUUUUAGAAAAUGUGAAAAUGUAAAUCAACCCUAUCCAUAAUAGAUUCUCUAAAACUUUAUCUUACAGUCACUUUCAAAUAACUAUUCAAAAAUGUAACUGCUAUAUUAACGUCUUAAAAUAAUUUAAAACAUUUUAAAAUAUGAAUACUGUAGUUUAAAACAAAGAAUCUAGGGGAAGGAAAAGUAGACAAAGAAAUGCCAAUUCCAGUCCAAAGCUGUAUUUGCCAAGUUUUCUUAGAAUGACUUUUACCGAUUUAUGAAUUCUUAUACACAGAAUGCAUAAUGGAAAUACUGAUUUUUGUCUAAAGUGGCAUUAUUGACUGCUGCUGUGAUGCUACUGUAAUGUAAUACAUUAUUAAAUUGUUUCAAGGUGCUGUUUUGCCUAAAAAUUUUGUGUGUCUUGAAAACUAUAGUAUUGGGUAUUGAGACUCUGCAAAUUCUCGGCAUGCUUGGCAUGAGGUAAUCGGUUUUUAUUCUUACAAAAUUGUAACUAUGUAAGUGUGUUUAUUAAAAGAACACAAACUAAAAAAGUUAACAGGAAUUAAAGUUGUGGGAUGAAAAAGUUACAGGAUAAAAAAAUACUGUGGAAAAGUGGC
rnacentral:lncRNA from 1 species